UGGAAGAAAUGUCAAGAAAUUAGAGAAAUAUCUAAGAUUUUUCUUGGAAUAACAUCACUAGGAGCUAUGUUUAGUCUUAGGCUGCUUCGUGGAUACAGGCCCUGGUCAUAGUGCUGACAUGAAACAGGUGGAGUUGGAUGUUGUUUCUACAGUACUGUCCCCCGUCUCAGGACAGCUGGCCGAUUGGUGUACGGAUCAGGAUGGAACUGCAGCG